AGUGAACGCUGGCGGUAGGCCUAACACAUGCAAGUCGAACGGCAGCACAGUAAGAGCUUGCUCUUACGGGUGGCGAGUGGCGGACGGGUGAGGAAUACAUCGGAAUCUACUUUUUCGUGGGGGAUAACGUAGGGAAACUUACGCUAAUACCGCAUACGACCUACGGGUGAAAGCAGGGGAUCUUCGGACCUUGCGCGAUUGAAUGAGCCGAUGUCGGAUUAGCUAGUUGGCGGGGUAAAGGCCCACCAAGGCGACGACCCGUAGCUGGUCUGAGAGGAUGAUCAGCCACACUGGAACUGAGACACGGUCCAGACUCCUACGGGAGGCAGCAGUGGGGAAUAUUGGACAAUGGGCGCAAGCCUGAUCCAGCCAUACCGCGUGGGUGAAGAAGGCCUUCGGGUUGUAAAGCCCUUUUGUUGGGAAAGAAAAGCAGCAGGUUAAUACCCCGCUGUUCUGACGGUACCCAAAGAAUAAGCACCGGCUAACCUCGUG
rnacentral:rRNA from 1 species